CCCAAAGCGGUCCAACGCGCGUCCUACUGCUCCGCUGCAACAUCCCGACCGAGAAAUUCGUCCCCAAAAUACUUGUCAGGUGUCGCCCACAAAGUCCUGGGAGGUGAAUAAUCCAAAGGCGGGAAGGGGGGAAAAAAAGGAGGAAUUCUGUAAGGUCCAAGCGACAGGUACGCGGGUUCCCACCCGCAGAGGAGCCUCGGUGACCGGAGAAACCUCUUCCAGAAACGGCCGUCGGAAAUCCGGAGCGGCGAACCGGGGCGAAGCGACCCUCUCGUCAGCUCGCUGAGGCAGACAGCAUCGCCCGCUCGCUCGCCUCCUCACUCCGGAGCUUUUUCUCCGCCCCCCUCUCCAUCCGUCACGGCGCCGAUGUCGGGGGCAAACUGUGGAAUUUCCACUCCCACAAAUCCAGCUGCGAGGCGGCCACCGAAGAACGCGAGCGAGGCGCGUACAUGCGAUGGAACACCCUGAGAAAUGUCCACCACCAGUUUUACAACCAAUACGUUUCCCUUUCCUUCACUUUGUUCCAUUCGCACUCUUUUUGCAAAACGACGAAACGAUCUCACCUUGUACAGUUUCAGUCUUUCUUUCAACACAAACUCAAGAUUCCUCUCCGCCAGUUAAACAAAUAAAAUAAUCGGGCUCAAAGUGUGAAAA